rnacentral:rRNA from 1 species
CGUGUAGGCGGCAAGGCAAGUCGGGUGUGAAAGCCCUGGGCUCAACCCAGGAAGUGCAUUCGAUACUGCCAAGCUAGAGUCCCGGAGAGGAUGGUGGAACUCUCGGUGUAGAGGUGAAAUUCGUAGAUAUCGAGAAGAACACCGGUGGCGAAGGCGGCCAUCUGGACGGUGACUGACGCUGAGACGCGAAAGCGUGGGGAGCAAACAGGAUUAGAUACCCUGGUAGUCCACGCCGUAAACGAUGGGUGCUAGGUGUCACGGGUAUUGACCCCUGUGGUGCCGAAGCUAACGCAUUAAGCACCCCGCCUGGGAAGUACGGCCGCAAGGCUAAA